rnacentral:lncRNA from 1 species
AAUUAAACCGUCGCCCAAAAUUUUACUUUUCUAAUUAAAAAAAAAAAAAAAAAACAUGAAUGUCGAAGGAUAAAAACAAAAGGUAAUACCUACAUUUUUCGGGUUAUUUUUAAGUUUUUAUCGCGCUCCUUUCGCUUCGGCGUCGCGUUCGACGCGCGAGAACUCGAGACGCGAAUCUUUACGCAUUGUUGGUCUCUAUUCAAUUUCGAUUUAUGGUUUCUUGGCAUUGCGAACGGUUUAAAAAAUCGAAUUUCUAACAGGUGCGAAACGUAUAAAACGUUAUUAAUUCCUUUAAGCGUCGUUUAUCUGUUCGUGGGCGUCGAGACACGUGAUGCGUUGGCGCGUCGUUUUUACCGAUUUUGGUAUAUAGAAGGCCAACUGAGACGAAAGUCGCCAGUUGCUCCGAUAAAAUAAAACUAAAACAACUUUUAAACGCGCAGUAAAAAUUAAACCUAUGUGAACUGGACAGAUAUGCAUGAGGUUCUUAAGGCCUCCUUGUAAAUUAUAGAGGAAAAACUGCAUAUGCAGUAAGGGUGGGUCUGGGAGUGUUUUCUUAUGUAAUAUGCAUGUUUUGCACCCUAGGCCAACAAAGUAAUCAAUUGUAAGAGCAAGAACGUCUUUGCAGAUAUUCGUAAUGAAGGAUUUGUGCACCGGUAUUAUAAACUUGCAAUUUCUUUUUUUAUUAUCUGAAGUUACAACUUACAUCUUUAUCUGUAUUGUACAUAACUGCAUGUUAUAUAUAACCUUAAUAAAUGUUUCUAACUUACGUAAAAUCUGUAUUUUAUUUUUACGCACAAAUUUUUCUGUAACAGUGAUUGUAAAUGUUUGUGACACUGUGUUUAUCUUAGCACUUUGUAUUGUAUAUGUUGUAUUCUUGUUGUAAACUUGUCUUAAUUGUAUAUGUGGCACUCUGUAUUCACACUUUUUCACUCUUUAAAUUCU